GAUGAAGAACGUAGCGAAAUGCGAUACUUGGUGUGAAUUGCAGAAUCCCGUGAACCAUCGAGUCUGUGAACGCAAGUUGCGCCCGAAGCCACUAGGCCGAGGGCACGCCUGCCUGGGCGUCACACGCCGUUGCCCCCCCAUCUACUCCUUCGGGAUUGCGGGGGGGCGGAUGAUGGCCUCCCGUGCGCCUAGCCGCGCGGUUGGCAUAAAUACCAAGUCCUCGGCGACGCACGCCACGACAAUCGGUGGUUGCGAAACCUCGGUUGCCCGUCGUGUGCGUUCGUCGCGCAUCGAGGGCUCGAAAAAAUGCUCGGCUCCGGCUGGGCUUUCAACGCGACCCCAGGUCAGGCGGGGUUACCCGCUGAAUUUAAGCAUAUCAAUAAGCGGAGGA
rnacentral:misc_RNA from 1 species